rnacentral:rRNA from 1 species
UACGGGGGGGGCAAGCGUUGUUCGGAAUUACUGGGCGUAAAGGGUUUGUAGGUGGCUCGCUAAGUCACACGUGAAAUCCCUCAGCUUAACUGGGGAACUGCGUGUGAGACUGGCGAGCUUGAGGACAGGAGAGGAACGCGGAAUUCCAGGUGUAGCGGUGAAAUGCGUAGAUAUCUGGAGGAACACCGGUGGCGAAGGCGGCAUCCUGGACCGGUAUUGACGCUGAGGCGCGAAAGCUAGGGGAGCAAACGGG